AACGCAUAUUGCAUUCUCUGGUAUUCCGGAGAGUAUACCUAUUUGAGGGUCAUUUGAAAUAACAUAAAUUCCGAGAUUUCUUGGAAUUAAAAUGGGACAUCCAGUUCUCGUGGUUGCCUAAAAUGCAAGACAAGCUCAUUUCUUGGGUUGCGUGAUACUUUGGUUACCUCGUGACUUUCCAAGGAAUUAACGAGCGUGUCAUGAUUUUUGCGAGAGAUGAAUUCGAAUUUAUCUCGUGUAAAAUACUUCGAUUGAAACUUGACCUCAAAUUAGGUAAGAGUACCCGCUGAACUUAA
rnacentral:misc_RNA from 1 species